rnacentral:rRNA from 1 species
UACGUAGGGUCCGAGCGUUGUCCGGAAUUACUGGGCGUAAAGAGCUCGUAGGUGGUUUGUCGCGUUGUUCGUGAAAACUCACAGCUCAACUGUGGGCGUGCGGGCGAUACGGGCAGACUAGAGUACUGCAGGGGAGACUGGAAUUCCUGGUGUAGCGGUGAAAUGCGCAGAUAUCGGGAAGAACACCCGUGGCGAAGGCGGCUCUCUGGGACGGUACUGACGCUGAGACGCGAAAGCGUGGGGAGCGAACAGG